UGCCAGCCGCCGCGGUAAUACGAAGGGUGCUAGCGUUGUUCGGAAUUACUGGGCGUAAAGAGCAUGUAGGCGGAUGAAUUAGUCAGAUGUGAAAUGCCUGAGCUCAACUGAGGCACUGCGUUUGAAACUGAUAGACUUGAGUAUUCCAGGGGUAUGCGGAACUGCCAGUGGAGCGGUGAAAUGCGUUGAUAUUGGCAGGAACACCAGUGGCGAAGGCGGCAUACUGGGGGAUAACUGACGCUGAGGCACGAAAGCCAGGGUAGCGAACGGGAUUAGAUA
rnacentral:rRNA from 1 species